GACGAACGCUGGCGGCGUGCCUAACACAUGCAAGUCGAGCGGAGAUAAUUAAAAGCUUGCUUUUGAUUAUCUUAGCGGCGGACGGGUGAGUAACGCGUGGGCAACCUGCCUUUCACAGGGGGGAUAACACAGGGAAACUUGUGCUAAUACCGCAUAACACAUCGAGGUAGCAUUACCUUGCUGUCAAAGGAGCAAUCCGGUGAUAGAUGGGCCCGCGUCCAAUUAGCUAGUUGGUGAUGUAACGGAUCACCAAGGCGACGAUUGGUAGCCGAACUGAGAGGUUGAUCGGCCACAUUGGGACUGAGACACGGCCCAGACUCCUACGGGAGGCAG
rnacentral:rRNA from 1 species